GCCGGUCUAACAGCACACUGCUGUCUGUUUGCCUAAAGGCAGAAUGAGCCCUCAGUGCAGUCUUCCCUCAAUCUCUUCUGCUGUCAUGUGAAACCCCUGUAAGACUUGUAGCAGACUGGAUGUGUUAAAGAAGCCUCCCCAAAGUGCAGGUGUGGAUUGUCUAUGUGUGUGUCAGCCCUGUGAUUAACUGGCCACCAGUCCAGCAUGUGCCACCCCUCUCACCCAAUGUCAGCUGGGAUCAGCAGCAGCCCCCCUACGCAACCCUCUAAAGGAUAAGAAGGCAGGGCGCGAACUACAGGGGAGCCACGGGGAGCCCGGCUCCUCUUAAUGAGCCAUGAGCUCCCCUGAAAACAUCAUUUGUGAAAUGUUGAUGUAUGAUUAGUGCAGGAGGAUGAUUCAUCGCUAAUUCACUUUAAUAAAGAUACUGAUGUGCUUGCCAUUACCAUUACCAUUGAACAAUAUAGUUAACUUCAGAUCAGAAAAUAUAAAUAAAAUACACUUUCCUAGUCCCAGUCAGUCUGUGCAUCAACUCGCCAUUAUUCGUUUAUUUCUCUGCUUUGUAGUGAGCAUACUGUGCGUCACGGUCAGUGGGAGUGAUUUGUGAAUUUGUUGAGGUCUAAAAUAAUCACAGUGCUCAGCCCUACAGGAUCUCCUAGAAAUACUUUGAUUAAAAAGUUUUCCAUUGCUUUAGGGAAACUGGUACCAUUAAUUCUUCAUUAAUAAAAGGUAUGUGAAUGAAGAAUGUAUUUAAGGAUGCCAGCAAGUAGCAGACUGUUGCAGACUGUGUCAAGCACUGCUCUGAAUAGCUUGUGAACAGAGCUGAUUUCAACACUCACUGUAACACUGAUUGGUUUUUAAGAAGCGCCUGGCAGAUUCAUUAUUGACUGAAUGACCUUCACAAGCACAACUCUGCUCAAAAAGAACAUUUUGGGGUUCAAAAAUACAUGAAUGGUCAGGGGAUACAUUCCAAUACCUGUCCUCCUGUAGACUCUGAAUCUGGCUCACCUUGCACUCCCUCCUGAGAGCGUACCUAAAAUCUAUAGCAACUCCCUCUAAAAAUAUGCAGCUGGAAUACCCAGAAUCUAAAAACUGUCUUUAGAUUUUACAGUGAAAAACUGCCAAACCAUGGCAGUAGAUAAAAGACUCUCAACUUAAAUAGGUUCAUUGUAGUUUCUGUAACAGUAAAACAC